GGGGAUGUGGCUCAGUGGUAGAGCACUUGUCUCACACGUUUGAGAAACUGGGUUUGAUCCCAGCACCA
rnacentral:tRNA from 1 species